rnacentral:rRNA from 1 species
UACCGGCAGCCCAAGUGAUGGCCGAUCUUAUUGGGCCUAAAGCGUCCGUAGCUGGCCGCGCAAGUCCAUCGGGAAAUCCACCUGCUCAACAGGUGGGCGCCCGGUAGAAACUGCGUGGCUUGGGACCGGAAGGCGCGACGGGUACGUCCGGGGUAGGAGUGAAAUCCCGUAAUCCUGGACGGACCGCCGAUGGCGAAAGCACGUCGCGAGAACGGAUCCGACAGUGAGGGACGAAAGCCAGGGUCUCGAA